rnacentral:rRNA from 1 species
CGGAUAGCUCGGGGAAACGUACGAAUUAACCCUUCAUAGUAUUAUUGGAUGGCAUCAUUUGAUAAUUAAAACUGAGGUGGUAUAGGAUGGGCAUGCGUCUGAUUAGUUAGUUGGCGGGGUAAUGGCCCACCAAGACGAUGAUCAGUAGGGGUUCUGAGAGGAAGAUCCCCCACACUGGCACUGAGAUACGGGCCAGACUCCUACGGGAGGCAGCAGUAGGGAAUAUUGGUCAAUGGAUGCAAGUCUGAACCAGCCAUGCCGCGUGCAGGAAGAAGGCCUUCUGGGUUGUAAACUGCUUUUGCCAGGGGGAUAAAAUUUCCAUGCGUGGAAAACUGAAGGUACCUGGUGAAUAAGCCACGGCUAACUACGUG